GAAUCUUCCGCAAUGGACGAAAGUCUGACGGAGCAACGCCGCGUGAACGAUGAAGGCUUUCGGGUCGUAAAGUUCUGUUGUUAGGGAAGAACAAGUACCAGAGUAACUGCUGGUACCUUGACGGUACCUAACCAGAAAGCCACGGCUAACCCCGUGCCAGCAGCCGCGGUAAUACGUAGGUGGCAAGCGGUAUCCGGAAUUAUUGGGCGUAAAGCGCGCGCAGGUGGUUCCUUAAGUCUGAUGUGAAAGCCCCCGGCUCAACCGGGGAGGGUCAUUGGAAACUGGGGAACUUGAGUGUAGAAGAGGAAAGUGGAAUUCCACGUGUAGCGGUGAAAUGCGUAGAGAUGUGGAGGAACACCAGUGGCGAAGGCGACUUUCUGGUCUAUAACUGACACUGAGGCGCGAAAGCGUGGGGAGCAAAC
rnacentral:rRNA from 1 species